GUCAAAUCAUCAUGCCCCUUAUGUCUUGGGCUACACACGUACUACAAUGGAUGAGAACAAAGCGACGCGAACACGCGAGUGGGAGCAAAGCGCAAAAAAGCAUCCUCAGUUCGGAUCGCGGCCUGCAACCCGGCCGCGUGAAGCCGGAAUCGCUAGUAAUCGCGAAUCAGCAUGUCGCGGUGAAUACGUUCCCGGGCCUU
rnacentral:rRNA from 1 species